AGGCCAAUUAAUCAUCACCAACUCUAAGUCUAAUUAAGAAAUUCGAUUACUCAAUUUCACUUAGAUGAUUAUAAGAAAAUUCCUAAAUUAAAUAGCUGAUCAAUCUAAUCGAUUUAGAAAAAUUCCCUGAACGAUAAAACAAGCAAUUCAAGAAUGCCAAAUUCGAAUUUAAAACAAAAUAAAAUUUCAAAUUCCUUGUGCUAGGUUUCAUAAGUAUCUAACUAAGCAUAAGUAAUUUAGCCACUCAUAGCAAGUAAAACAAAACCAAAAUCAAUUGUAAACAACAUGAAUUACAAAUUGAAUCUUGGAAAGAAAAAAAAACUACCUCAAACCGUCGAGCUUCCCUUCUCUCAAUUAGCUGAAAUUUUGGGCUGCUACUCCAACUGCUUGAUUGGCUUUCGCUGGUUCAAUUAGAGAUUUUGCUUGCUCGAGUUCCACGCCCUUCUGCUCUGUUCUUCUCUGUUUUUUCGACUCUUUUUUUUUCAGCUGCUGGUCACCUCUAUUUAUGGAAUAAUAAUACAAUUCAAAACAAAAUUUGAUCUUAUCCCCUUGAUCCUAGCUGAACCCUUCGCAUAAAAAUAGCUCCAGCCUACUAGAGUUUUACUUUAAUUAAACUUCUCAAGGCUGAUUUGAUUCCCUUGAUUCGAUUAGAGUCGGC
rnacentral:lncRNA from 1 species